AGCUGAUAUAUAUUACAGGCUACAAAUUGUAUUUGGGUUAUGGCAAUUCUUUGUACCACACCUACUGAAUAAGCUGAAUUAGAUAAUAUAUGUAUGUCUCCUGGAUAAUAAGCAAGAGCUAGCUAGAAUGAUUGCAUACAAUUCAUUCUGCUGAGUGGACUGAAAAGAAGUUCUGACUACUCUCUUUAUAGUUAAGUCAUGAGAAUAUAUAGUACAAAUAUUAUGUUUGGAUACAUCUUUAAAGCGAGUUGGUCCUUUAAGAGGAACUUCAGAAACCUUUUCUUCUAGAAUCCAUUGUCAAUUAUGUAACAGUCUGGUUGUCUUUAAUGGAGACCUGUGUGUAAAAUUCAGAGCUGUGGCUAAUAAAAUUUGCCACUCUGGGAUGGUUUCACAGCAUACAUUAAUUUGUGCAUUAGUAUAAAAGGUGUAUAUCUUGUCAGGUCUUAUCCCAGAUACUUAUACUGCUUGCUUAAUGGCCUUUAAUAAAAUUCUAGUCACAAGCACUGGGUAAAGAGUAACAGUUUGUUUUGGUUAGGUUGGGAGGUUCACCCACUCUAUCACAGUGUCUGUUUGAUGAAGGACUGCUGUGGGUGCCUCUUGUGUAGUAAAAACUGCUAUUUCUAAGGAUAUUGGAGUGACUUUCAACCACACACUUCAACUUCUCUCAAAGUCUCUUGAGCUUCUUUUGUAAGCUAGCGUGGUGAGUUUAAAACACUGUCUCCCCUUAAAAUGUCACAUAAUGGUUAUAACUGAGAGGUAGUCAAUCCUAACACUGAACGCAUCCAUUGGAUAUCUCCUAUCAAUUUUGUAAGGCUUCUCUCCAGAUUGAUGACCGUACUGUGGCAGAACACCUUGCCAAGGUUUAUCUCUAGUGAGAAUAUUCUAAUAUCAAGUGAGGUCUCUCUUGUGAAGAAAAGGUCUCCACACUCACUGCACUUAGAAGGUUUGUCUCCAGUAUGAAUCUUUUGAUUUUUGAGUAAGUUCUUUGAUCAGGCACAAGGCCUUACAACAUUCAUUACACUAAUAAGAUUUUCCUGCAACAUGAAUUCUUCAAUGUAAAUUAAGAGCUGUAGUCAGGCAGAAAGUCUUCCCAUAGUCAUUACAUUCUUAGGAUAUUUCAUAGUAUGGAUCUUCUGAUGUCAAAUGAGGUCUAUCUAUCUUGCAGCAGAAGGCCUUCCCACAGUCAUUACAUUCAUAAAGUUUCUCAGCCAUAUGGAUUUUCUUGUAUGGAGUAAAAAAAUGUCUCCUGGCUGAAAGUCUUGCCAUAUUCAUUACAUUCAUUAUUAUUUCCUCACUAGCUGGAUGCCAAAUUACAGAUUUGACUCAACUUGGUCCAAAAUACAUCCCUUAUAAAUUGCCUGGCAUAAUUCCUCCAAAAAAUGUCCAGCUUUGGGAUUGUCUUGUUUGAUUUCAG
rnacentral:lncRNA from 1 species